rfam:Brugia malayi, FR3, WGS project CAPY01000000 data, contig: ctg1510939
AACUCUUAGAUGUGGAUCACUUGGCUUGUGGAUCGAUGAAAAACACAGCUAACUGCGAUAAAUAAUGCAAAUUGUAUAGGCAUUGAGCAAGAAGAUUUCAAACGUACAUUGCACAUCAGGUUAGUUACUGAUGUCUUUGGGAGUUA